rnacentral:rRNA from 1 species
CGAACGCUGGCGGCGCGCUUACCACAUGCAAGUCGAACGGAAAGGCCCUGCUUUUGUGGGGUGCUCGAGUGGCGAACGGGUGAGUAACACGUGAGUAACCUGCCCUUGACUUUGGGAUAACUUCAGGAAACUGGGGCUAAUACCGGAUAGGAGCUCCUGCUGCAUGGUGGGGGUUGGAAAGUUUCGGCGGUUGGGGAUGGACUCGCGGCUUAUCAGCUUGUUGGUGGGGUAGUGGCUUACCAAGGCUUUGACGGGUAGCCGGCCUGAGAGGGUGACCGGCCACAUUGGGACUGAGAUACGGCCCAGACUCCUACGGGAGGCAGCAGUGGGGAAUAUUGCACAAUGGGCGGAAGCCUGAUGCAGCAACGCCGCGUGCGGGAUGACGGCCUUCGGGUUGUAAACCGCUUUCGCCUGUGACGAAGCGUGAGUGACGGUAAUGGGUAAAGAAGCACCGGCUAACUACGUG